ensembl:snoRNA
CUCCAUGUACCUUUGGGACCUGUUUGCUAUGGCUGUUUCCCUUCCUGGCUAUGAAAAAGAAUAUUCUUGUUUAUUGGCAAGGCUAUCACAUUAUAAUUGGUAUAAGAAAGUGAUUUGCAAAAGUAAGUUAA